AUUGAACGCUGGCGGCAGGCUUAACACAUGCAAGUCGAACGGUAACAUAAAGAAGCUUGCUUCUUUGAUGACGAGUGGCGGACGGGUGAGUAAUGCUUGGGAAUCUAGCUUAUGGAGGGGGAUAACUACGGGAAACUGUAGCUAAUACCGCGUAGUAUCGGAAGAUGAAAGUGUGGGACCUUCGGGCCACAUGCCAUAGGAUGAGCCCAAGUGGGAUUAGGUAGUUGGUGAGGUAAAGGCUCACCAAGCCGACGAUCUCUAGCUGGUCUGAGAGGAUGACCAGCCACACUGGGACUGAGACACGGCCCAGACUCCUACGGGAGGCAGCAGUGGGGAAUAUUGCGCAAUGGGGGCAACCCUGACGCAGCCAUGCCGCGUGAAUGAAGAAGGCCUUCGGGUUGUAAAGUUCUUUCGGUAGCGAGGAAGGCAUUUAGUUUAAUAAACUAGGUGAUUGACGUUAACUACAGAAGAAGCACCGGCUAACUCCGUGCCAGCAGCCGCGGUAAUACGGAGGGUGCGAGCGUUAAUCGGAAUAACUGGGCGUAAAGGGCACGCAGGCGGUGACUUAAGUGAGGUGUGAAAGCCCCGGGCUUAACCUGGGAAUUGCAUUUCAUACUGGGUCGCUAGAGUACUUUAGGGAGGGGUAGAAUUCCACGUGUAGCGGUGAAAUGCGUAGAGAUGUGGAGGAAUACCGAAGGCGAAGGCAGCCCCUUGGGAAUGUACUGACGCUCAUGUGCGAAAGCGUGGGGAGCAAACAGG
rnacentral:rRNA from 1 species